UACGUAGGGCGCAAGCGUUGUCCGGAAUUAUUGGGCGUAAAGCGCUCGUAGGCGGCCAGUUGCGUCUGCUGUGAAAUCCCGGGGCUCAACCCCGGGCGUGCAGUGGAUACGGGCUGGCUAGAGGCAGGCAGGGGAGAACGGAAUUCCCGGUGUAGCGGUGAAAUGCGCAGAUAUCGGGAGGAACACCGGUGGCGAAGGCGGUUCUCUGGGCCUGUACUGACGCUGAGGAGCGAAAGCGUGGGGAGCGAACAGG
rnacentral:rRNA from 1 species